GACGAACGCUGGCGGCGUGCUUAACACAUGCAAGUCGAACGGUGAAGCCCUUCGGGGUGGAUCAGUGGCGAACGGGUGAGUAACACGUGAGCAAUCUGCCCUUGACUCUGGGAUAACUUCGGGAAACCGGAGCUAAUACCGGAUAUGACACAUGGCUGCAUGGUCUGUGUGUGGAAAGAUUUUAUCGGUCAGGGAUGAGCUCGCGGCAUAUCAGCUUGUUGGUGGGGUAAUGGCCUACCAAGGCGACGACGGGUAGCCGGCCUGAGAGGGCGACCGGCCACACUGGGACUGAGACACGGGCCCCGACUCCUACGGGAGCAGCAGUAAGGAAUAUUGGUCGAUGGACGCAAGUCUGAACCAGCCAUGCCGCGUGGAGGAUGAAGGUCCUCUGGAUUGUAAACUUUCUUUUAUAUGGGACGAAACCCUCGGAUUCUUCUGAGACUGACGUACCAUAAGAAUAAGCACCGGCUAACUCCGUG
rnacentral:rRNA from 1 species